rnacentral:rRNA from 1 species
UACGUAGGGGGCGAGCGUUAUCCGGAUUUACUGGGUGUAAAGGGAGCGUAGACGGCGAAGAAAGUCUGAAGUGAAAGCCCGCGGCUCAACCGCGGAACUGCUUUGGAAACUUUUUUGCUGGAGUACCGGAGAGGUAAGCGGAAUUCCUAGUGUAGCGGUGAAAUGCGUAGAUAUUAGGAGGAACACCAGUGGCGAAGGCGGCUUACUGGACGGUAACUGACGUUGAGGCUCGAAAGCGUGGGGAGCAAACAGG